CCCAGUGGCACAAAACUGUGUUUAGAGGAUUUCCACCCUUUCUUUCUGGAAUUCAGCCCUGAAGUUUGCAUUUGUGAGUGGCAGAACUGAGAUGUUCUGCCCCACCAGCACAAGUAAACAGCAGUGCCAUCAAAACACACACUGCUUGUGCUGGCACAAGUGCCAAGUAAACAAAGCUAAAGAAAUCUUGUCGUUUUUAGUACAGAUCAGUUUUCUACAGAGCUAGAAAAACGCUUGUUCCAGCAUAAGGGAGGGACAGGAGUAAGUAAAUGAGGGUGGAGAGAGGAGGGGUGACUCAGCAGCACUGCAGCAUGUUCCAGAUUAAAGGGAUAGUGUAACUAAAGCUGCACUCUGGGGCUCUUCAUGUGCCUCAUUUAGAGGUCUCAGCCAUGAAAAAGAAUUAAUAAAAUGUCAUUAGACUCCCAUUCUUGUGCAUUCUCCCCUCUGGACAGGCAGCAAGCAGUGCUUACAGAUCUGAGACCACAGCAACAGCUCCAGAAGCUCCUUUUCUUUCACAGCCAGGACCAUGCUGCAGAUGGAGGGACAGGAGGAAUCUGACUGAAGCAGUUCCAAGACAUGGAGAACACUUCUGGCCAUUUUUGGAGGGAGCACAAGUGUUUCUAUGUGAAUAUUGCAAGCUGCAAUCCCAGUGAGAAGGCAGGAGGGAGCAGAAACAAGUGCAAGGCUGAGCUGGAUGUACUUUGUAACCUCUGCAGCAGCAAGGGCUGUGCUGUGCCUGUGGAAGCACGCCCAGAGCAAACACUGGACACGCUUCAAAACACUCCUUGGGAAGGUCCUGCUUUGCUGAAGGACAGGAGCCACAUCUGAUGUGUUGCAUUCUUUGAGCAUGUUUGUGAUGGUGUUCACAGGGGUCCAAGGAAGAGGGAAGAGAUGAGGAUCUGACUCCAUGUUUCAGAAGGCUUGAUUUAUUAUUUUAUAUGUUAUAUUAAAACUAUACUAAAAGAAUAGAAGAAAGGAUUUCAUCAGAAGGCUAGCUAAGAAUAGAAAAAGAAGGGAUGAAUAACAAAGGCUUGUGUCUCAGAGAGUCCGAGCCAGCUGACUGUGAUUGGCCAUUAAUUAGAAACAACCACAUGAGACCAAUCACAGAUGCACCUGUUGCAUUCCACAGCAGCAGAUAACCAUUGUUUACAUUUUGUUCCUGAGGCCUCUCAAAUUCUCAGGAGAAAAAAUCCCAAAAAAAGGAUUUUUCAUAAAAUGUGUCUGUGACAUAAGUUAUCUCAUUUGUCAUUAAUGUCAUUUAUCAUCUGAGCUGGUCCCAAGGCUGUGUUUGAUUUGAGGGAGAGCCUGGCAGAGGGAGGCAGGAGUCAGACCUGGAGCAUAGCCAGGGCAGAGGCACACAGGGGAUGUCACUUGUCCCACAGCCCUCUGAACUCCUUGGGAGCUCAGUUUGCAGACACUGCAGCAGUGAGGAGGCUGCAGCAGGAGCAGGGAAUGCACAGGCACAGCCCCAAUUCCUCAUGCAAUGAUGCUGUGGAAUGCUGCCCUGGGAAAACACAACCUGAGCAUCACACCUGGGUUGCUACAGGGAGAGAGGAUUUCAGCAAAGGGCUCCUUGGUGU
ensembl:lncRNA